GUGUCUCCAAAUUCAUCUCCACUCUGCCUCGCCUUUUCAAAGCCCAGUUCUAGCAGCUCCAGCAUGCCUCAGGAAAGAAACUAGCCUGAUCUAUAUUGGUGAUGGAGGAAAAUCUGGUUGUUGUUAUUGUUAUCUGUCCUUCAUUCUUGAAGAGGACUGUGACACCAGGAAGGUGAUACCAUGACUUACGAGAAGUCUCCUUCCCUUUCUCCCUCUUGCCAAGAUCCCAUCCAGCCAUGCAGUCCAGAGCCAUCUGCCCCAGGGCUUGUACUGCUUCUCCUCAUCUGUACUAGCACCUUCUGCACUGAACUUCCAGAAUCUAUAUGUGGAAUCUCCAGAGUCCGUGAGAAGGGCCCCCAAAAUCCAUGCCCCCGGGCCCUAGAAAAAUCAAUUGAAAUGACUUUGGAACUCUGACUUUGGAGCCCAGCCAUCUUGAAUGACAAUUGAAUGAGUACCAGCUUACACAGCCUAGUAUCUAACUGGCCCCAGAUCAGGAACAUCCUUCACAUACCAUCCAGCUCUCCAUCUUGCUGUCUGCAUGAACAUCACCAUCAUUUCUAGAAAGGGCAAGUCAAUUGACUGUCUUCUGGAUCAAUUCACUCUUAAUGACUCAGCAGACCAAAACUCCAUCUCCUGGCAGCCUUCCUCAACAUACCGUUGUCUCUCCCUACUAGAAUGUAAGCUCCUUGAGGGCAGACACUAUAUCACUUUUUAAGUUUGUGCUUACAUUUUUUAGCCUAGAACCUAGCACAUAAUAAGGACUUAAUACAUGCUUUUUUAUGCAUUCAUUUGUUCAUUUCUUUACCACAUGAUAGCCCUUCAAAUAGUAUUCUCUUCACUCAUAUAAGGUAUUUCCAAGACUCCUACCUUACUCUCCCUUAAACAUACUAUAGUGUGUUGAUGUCCCUCUUAAAAUGAAAUGGCUAGGAUAGAAUGCAAUAAUCCAGAUGUGAUCAGACCAGCACAGAAUUGCUCAAAAGCCAGAAUGCUGGUGGCCAUGAAAGAUUAAAUGCUAUGACUGAAAGUGCCCCAUUUAUAAGUAGGGUGUCCCUGCUGCCAAGGGAGAAUACGGCUCCAUAUUUUGGAGAUGGCAUUUUCUGGAGAAACAAUUGGUGACUGUAUUUUCAUCUUCAUCUUGUGUCGUAUGGAGUUAGGGAAAUACAUGUGAGCCGGAGGAGUUUUUGUUUUGUACACUUGAAGCAGUUACUCAUUUUGGGAGAAGCGUUGAAUGCAAACUGGAUCCAGACCCACUAAGUUUUGUCCGACACAGGUGUUGAUAUGCUGAAUGGAUAUUAAGUUGGCAAAGCAAAUGAACAGCACUGACUUACUCAUUAGAGGGAGCUUUUAUACCUACAAGAAUGCCAGGAGGAUGCAAAAAUGGGAGUGUUUGAUGACACCUAUAAGACUUUCCCACUCUAAAUCCACCUAUGAACCUUAGUACAAAGGGAUUUGACACCUCCUCCCCAACCACCCCCCCAAGCCUCAUCCCUGUACAUUCUCCUUCUAAAUUCUAAUCCUCCAAAAGUUUACCAGCAAAGAAGUUCCUAAGUGCCCUUGAACCACUCAAAGUAGAAUGGAUGAUCCUUGAGGGCAGGGACUUUCUCAUUUUUGUUGGGCUGGUUUUUUUUUAAUCCCCAGGUCUAGGGCAAUGCUUUGUAUACAGCAAAUACCUGAAUUUUUAAAAUUCAUUUGAACUGAAUGUAAUGGAAUGAAAUUGAAGCCACCAGUAUCAAAUA